UCCUACGGGAGGCAGCAGUGGGGAAUCUUGCACAAUAGGCGAAAGCCUGAUGCAGCGACGCCGCGUGGAGGAUGACGGUCUUCGGAUUGUAAACUCCUGUUAAACGGGAAGAAAGACUUGUUUCUAAUACAGACAAGUUAUGACGGUACCGUUAGAGAAAGCACCGGCUAACUUCGUGCCAGCAGCCGCGGUAAUACGUAGGGGGCAAGCGUUGUCCGGAUUUACUGGGUGUAAAGGGCGCGUAGGCGGAUUUGUAAGUCAGAGGUGAAAGCCCGCAGCUUAACUGCGGAACUGCCUUUGAUACUGCUUAUCUUGAGUUCGGAAGAGAGUAGCGGAAUUCCAGGUGUAGUAGUGAAAUACGUAGAUAUCUGGAAGAACACCAGUGGCGAAGGCGGCUUCUUGGUCCGUAACUGACGCUGAGGCGCGAAAGCGUGGGGAGCAAACAGGAUUAGAUACCCCAGUAGUCCAAGCCG
rnacentral:rRNA from 1 species